rnacentral:rRNA from 1 species
AACGAACGCUGGCGGCAGGCUUAACACAUGCAAGUCGAGCGCCCCGCAAGGGGAGCGGCAGACGGGUGAGUAACGCGUGGGAAUCUACCCAUCUCUACGGAAUAACGCAUGGAAACGUGUGCUAAUACCGUAUACGUCCUUCGGGAGAAAGAUUUAUCGGAGAUGGAUGAGCCCGCGUUGGAUUAGCUAGUUGGUGGGGUAAAGGCCUACCAAGGCGACGAUCCAUAGCUGGUCUGAGAGGAUGAUCAGCCACACUGGGACUGAGACACGGCCCAGACUCCUACGGGAGGCAGCAGUGGGGAAUAUUGGACAAUGGGCGCAAGCCUGAUCCAGCCAUGCCGCGUGAGAGAUGAAGGCCCUAGGGUUGUAAAGCUCUUUCACCGGUGAAGAUAAUGACGGUAACCGGAGAAGGAGCCCCGGCUAACUUCGCGCCAGCCGCCGCGGUAACAC